rnacentral:rRNA from 1 species
GAGUUGAUCCUGGCUCAGAACGACGCUGGCGGCAGGCCUAAUACAUGCAAGUCGAGCGCUCUAGCAAUAGAGAGCGGCGCACGGGUGCGUAACGCGUGGGAACAUGCCCUUAGGUGCGGAACAACGUCUGGAAACGGACGCUAAUACCGCAUAAUAUCUCCGGAUCAAAGAUUUAUCGCCUAGGGAUUGGCCCGCGUUGGAUUAGCUAGUUGGUGAGGUAAUGGCUCACCAAGGCUACGAUCCAUAGCUGGUCUGAGAGGAUGAUCAGCCACACUGGGACUGAGACACGGCCCAGACUCCUACGGGAGGCAGCAGUAAGGAAUAUUGGACAAUGGAGGAAACUCUGAUCCAGCCAUGCCGCGUGAGUGAUGAAGGCCUUCGGGUUGUAAAACUCUUUUAGAUGUGACGAUGAUGACGGUAACAUCAGAAAAAGCCCCGGCUAACUUCGUG